UGAAACGAUUGCUAUAUUGAUGUAGUUUUUAGUAAGGCCUCUGCCCGGGUCUGAUAUUUCCUGCAAAGUCCACAAAAUGAUUUGCGGCAGGUAGAUGGCACCACAUUAACACAUUCUACAGGGUCAUUAGUUGUGACCCAGGG